AUUUCGAUAAGCCUGAUAUAUAUAUAUAUAUAUAUAUAUAUAUAUAUAUAUAUAUAAUCAAAAUUAAGUAUCCUCAGUCACUUAAAAAAAGUGUUUAAUGAAUAGUUUGCUUAACUGAGGGAGCCUGAGAAAUAGCUACCACAUCCAAGGACGGCAGCAGGCACGAAAAUUUCUCACUCCCGGCACGGGGAGGUAGUGACGAAAAAUACGUAUACGGGACUCAAUUGAGACUCCGUAAUUCGAAUGAGUGUAAUUUAAAUCCUUUAACGCGGACCGAUUGGAGGGCAAGUCUGGUGCCAGCAGCUGCGGUAACUCCAGCUACAA
rnacentral:ncRNA from 1 species